AUUGAACGCUGGCGGCAUGCUUUACACAUGCAAGUCGAACGGUAACAGGCCUUCGGGUGCUGACGAGUGGCGAACGGGUGAGUAAUGCAUCGGAACGUGCCCAGAGGUGGGGAAUAACGCAGCGAAAGCUGUGCUAAUACCGCAUGUGAGCUGAGGAUGAAAGCGGGGGACCAGGCAGCAAUGUUUGGCCUCGCGCCUUUGGAGCGGCCGAUGUCAGAUUAGGUAGUUGGUGGGGUAAAGGCCUACCAAGCCGACGAUCUGUAGCCGGUCUGAGAGGACGACCAGCCACACUGGGACUGAGACACGGCCCAGACUCCUACGGGAGGCAGCAGUGGGGAAUUUUGGACAAUGGGCGCAAGCCUGAUCCAGCAAUGCCGCGUGCGGGAAGAAGGCCUUCGGGUUGUAAACCGCUUUUGUACGGAACGAAAAGGCUCUGGCUAAUACCUGGUGCUGAUGACGGUACCGUAAGAAUAAGCACCGGCUAACUACGUG
rnacentral:rRNA from 1 species